ACGAACCGUGCGAACGUUGUUCGGAAUCACUGGGCUUAAAGGGCGCGUAGGCGGCUUCCCAAGUCCGGGGUGAAAUCUUUCGGCUUAACCGGAAAAGUGCCUUGGAUACUGGGCGGCUUGAGGGGGGUAGGGGCAAGCGGAACUUCCGGUGGAGCGGUGAAAUGCGUUGAUAUCGGAAGGAACGCCGGCGGCGAAAGCGGCUUGCUGGACCCCAUCUGACGCUGAUGCGCGAAAGCUAGGGUAGCGAACGGGA
rnacentral:rRNA from 1 species